rnacentral:rRNA from 1 species
AACGAACGUUAGCGGCGCGCCUAACACAUGCAAGUCGAACGCGACUGGGGGCAACUCCAGUUGAGUGGCGCACGGGUGAGUAACACGUAGGUAAUCUCCCCUCGAGUGGUGGAUAACCUUCCGAAAGGAGGGCUAAUACAGCAUAAGACCACGGCCUCGAAAGAGGCUGAGAUCAAAGCGGAGGAUCGCAAGACUUCGCGCUUGAGGAUGAGCCUGCGGCCCAUCAGGUAGUUGGCGGAGUAACAGCCCACCAAGCCCAAGACGGGUAGCUGGUCUGAGAGGAUGAUCAGCCACACUGGAACUGAGACACGGUCCAGACUCCUACGGGAGGCAGCAGUGGGGAAUCUUGCGCAAUGGACGAAAGUCUGACGCAGCGACGCCGCGUGGGUGAUGAAGGCCUUCGGGUUGUAAAGCCCUGUGGGGAGGGACGAAUAAGUUGCAGCUAAUACCUGCAGCGAUGACGGUACCUCCUUAGCAAGCACCGGCUAACUCUGUGCCAGCCGCCGCCGUAA